rnacentral:rRNA from 1 species
CGCUGGCGGCAGGCCUAACACAUGCAAGUCGAACGGUAACAGGAAGAAGCUUGCUUCUUUGCUGACGAGUGGCGGACGGGUGAGUAAUGUCUGGGAAACUGCCUGAUGGAGGGGGAUAACUACUGGAAACGGUAGCUAAUACCGCAUAACGUCGCAAGACCAAAGAGGGGGACCUUCGGGCCUCUUGCCAUCGGAUGUGCCCAGAUGGGAUUAGCUAGUAGGUGGGGUAACGGCUCACCUAGGCGACGAUCCCUAGCUGGUCUGAGAGGAUGACCAGCCA